rnacentral:rRNA from 1 species
AUGGGGAGAGGGCGAGUCCUGCGGCGGGCCACCUCCGGCGAGCCGGUCCGGCCCAACAAGGCCGCGCAGCGGCCAAAGGCUCCGGAGGAGUCCGCGUGUCAGACGAGGGCCGCGGCGGCGAAGAAGGUGGUGGAGGAUGCGGUGGCGAAGAAGAAAGCGUGUGCCUCCUCUUCAUCCAAGCGCGUCCAGACUCCGCCCUCCUCCCCUCCUUCGGCGGACGUCGACACGGGGGUCACCUUCGACUUCGGGUCUCUUAGCCUGAGAAGGAAGAGGAAGGCAACAGAGGAGGAGGUGGAUGACGAGGAUGCGGAGACGCUGGCCCAGAGGGCGAAGAGGGCCAAGGUCUCGGCGGGUGGCCAGCCCCCGGCGGGUACUUCGAGGGCGCCAUUGGUGGUGUUGAGCAGCCAGGACUGCAGCCCCCGGCACAGCCCCCAGCGAGGAGGACAGCGGCAGGAGGAGCCGCAGAGGGCUACCCCCAACACGCCGCCCCCAUUGACCACACCGCCCCGGGGGGCAUCCCCGGCAAGGGCACCAAGUGUCGAGCCCAUGCACAUGGAGGAGGAGGAGAACUCGGGCGCCGGUGGCACUGCCUUGGCACCAGAUGUUGGCGGAGAGGGGGCAUCUGCUUCCCAGCCUGGCACCGAUCCCUCCUCGGCGGGCCCAGAGGACAUAGACACCGUCAUUGAGGACGUCGCCAAGGCCACCGCGGUGGAUGCCGAGAAGGUUGCCGCCGAGGAGGCCGCCAAGGCGUCUACCGGGGAGGCCGGCGAGGCUGCUGCCGAGGAGGAGACGGUCGACGACCAGCCUUCCUCCUCCGCUGGCUCUGGCUCUGGCAAGUAUCUAAGGGUGAGCGACGAUCUGUUCGUCCACCUUCCUGGCGCGUCGAGCACCAGGGCACCCGUCGAGGGAGAGGUGUUUGACGACGAAGUGCUUGCCGCCGCUGGGCUCGAGGUCGUCGACAAGCCGAGCGCUGGUGGCGACGGCUCCCAGGAGGAGCGGCUCCUCCACCGCGCCCGCCUGGACAAGGCCAAGUCCAGGAUGGCAGUGGCGGAGAAGGCGGAGGCGGAACUCUAG